GGCGCCUUUGCUGGCUGCGACCAGGAGGGUGCAGCCCCCUAGGGAGGUCCUGGCUCUCCUGCCAUGCUGCCCUCCCCUCCCUCCCUGGUAGGAGUCCUUCUCCCAGGCCCAUAUUUGCACAAAUGCUUGCCUCGCUGCUCACUCCAGAGCCCCAGCCAAGAGGUGCUAUUUUAAGAUCCCUGGACGGGAACAUUGUUGGUGGGAACAGCCCCAGCCAGCAAGCUCCCAGUUCUCAAAAAAGGGAAAGGCCUGGGUGAAUGGGCGGCCUCUGGGGUGUGCAGAGGGGCUGCCACGUCGACAUGACCCUCUGCCCAGGCCAGGUGCCAGCGUCUCCUCCCCACAGGGGGAAGUCAAAGAAAUGUGAGUUGGGGUAGGACUCCAAGAGGUGGUCUUGUUCACUGGAGACUGGGUCGCCUAGGCCUCUCUUCUGCAGAGCAUCCAGACUUGAAAACACCAAGUUUGUGUUUCUGGGUUGCAAAUUGACUCUACACUGUACCAAGUCUCUUGUUAGCACUCACCACCCACAGGCCAUCAGAGAAGCCCUCCUCCUGUGGGGAAAGCACGGCAGACUUCAGGCAAUGGUGGUUGGACAUUUGCCCUGCCCCUUAUUAUAUGGUCAUGUCCACCCCCCUCACUUCAGUGGGCCUCCGUUUCCUCACGGGGUUGUUAAAAUGCAUUAAUCAUUAAAAUUAUUGUUUGCCUGGC
rnacentral:lncRNA from 1 species